UCACGAGUGCUCAGUGUCACAGCCAAAAAUAACAGCUGUCACAGCUUAAAGAAAAAAACACUCUCCUUCACUGAGCUUCCUGGAUGCCUUUUCUACCUCUGUUCAGCAGGCAACCACUCAGCUAUGACUGUCAGCACCCAGCUUCACAGUUAACACCCUGUUAAACUGAAGAGAGGGAAGCUCACCGCACUUAUGUGGACAAUUUGUUCUCAGCAUAGGACAAGAGCUGAAGAUGACUGAAGACCCCACAGAUGCUACUAACUCCUUGCUGGUACUGGGAAGUGGCAGGUGCAACCAGAGAGAGCUGAAUCUUCUGACCGAAGUUUCAGAUAAGAGAAUAAUAGCUUCGCUACGCCUAUUCUGCAGUGUUCCCUGAAGAGAUCAACGAGGCUGGAGCUCUGUGGUGUCAAGGGCGGCUACAGAUCACGUUCACUACCCAAAAGCUGCUUUGCCAGCUCCUCGCUGUGCUGCAGAACGGGCCAGCUCCGUGGAAUGUCACCUUCGCUAGCAGUUGUGAUGGAUGGCGCUUCUAAUCCGCCAGCUUCCAACCUGCCAGCUAGCUGGGGAAUCACACACAGACUGAACAAACCUGCUCGCUGCUCAGAGCAAUCCCUCGUCACACCUCUCUCACACUAUUGUGCCACCACAAAAGAGGCUGGUUCUCUGUAAAUCUGAUAAGAACAGUCAGACUCAAAUUCAUAUCUGCAAUGAGCGGGCACUUUAAUGUUAAUUUGCACAGUUUGUGACUAUGGGUGGGGGCAGGGUACAGAGUCUGAGAUGAGGGCUUGAUCCUUCGCUCCCUAACCAGGAUUGGCUAGGAAGCCAGACUACUCAGUCGCUGGGAUGUAGAGGGGAGAGGGAACACCUUAUCUCACUCUGCAGUGACCCCUCUGGCUGAUGCAAGAAUUGCUCGCAUGGGCUUUGAAGGGGGUCAUCAUUGUCACCAAUCCUAUACCAUGGGCCUGCUGUGAUGCAGAAUAAUCAAAUCCAGGGAUACUGGAAGGAUGUUAGCUGUUAGGUAGGUGCACUGAGAGGGGCUCAGAAAAAAUUUUCCCCCAGGGAACAAAUAAAAUAAAAUCCCGUUAUAUACUUCGAGGGGAAAUAGAGGCAAAUGUGAUUGAUUGUCAUUUGUGAAGCACCCCAAAGUUCUUGUGGAUGGGGAGGGAGGCACUUUUAUUAAUCAUUCAUCAUUUUUCAUGGAAUCCCACUUACUAAUAACUCCACCUUCUUACAAGAACAGAUAUGAAGUGAGUGGGAGUCAGGACUGCUGUGUUCUGGUCCCUCCUUAAAAGCAUGCUAUUGUCUAGCCAGUCCUAAAGAGACCUUCACUGGAUGCUAUGGACCUUGCCAAUUCUUGCCCAAAGUCAAAACAUCCCUUUCCUAAGAAAGCUAAUUGAGAACUAAC